GAUGAAGAACGUAGCGAAAUGCGAUAAGUAAUGUGAAUUGCAGAAUUCAGUGAAUCAUCGAAUCUUUGAACGCACAUUGCGCCCGCCAGUAUUCUGGCGGGCAUGCCUGUUCGAGCGUCAUUUCAACCCUCAAGACCCCUUCGGGGGACUUGGUGUUGGGGACCGGCACAGGGGCCUGCCUGCUUGUCUUGCAGCGCCCUCGCCGCCCCCGAAAUGAAUUGGCGGCCUCGUCGCGGCCUCCCCUGCGUAGUAGCACAAACCUCGCAACGGGAACGUGACGGCGGCCACUGCCGUAAAACAACCCAAUUUUAUUAGAGUUGACCUCGAAUCAGGUAGGAAUACCCGCUGAACUUAAGCAUAUCAAUAAGCGGGGA
rnacentral:misc_RNA from 1 species